rnacentral:rRNA from 1 species
GGGUCAGUAGGUUGGUCGUGCCACCGGUACGUACUGGUCUCACUGAUUCCUCCCUCCUGAAGAACCGUAAUGCCAUUAAUUUGGUGUUGCGGGGAAACAGGACUGUUACCUUGAAAAAAUUAGAGUGUUUAAAGCAAGCUAACGCUUGAAUACAUUAGCAUGGAAUAAUGAAAUAGGACGAUCGAUCCUAUUUUGUUGGUUUCUAGGAUUGACGUA